rnacentral:rRNA from 1 species
AGCAGCCGCGGUAAUUCCAGCUCCAAUAGCGUAUAUUAAAGUUGUUGCAGUUAAAAAGCUCGUAGUUGAAUUUCAAGCCUGGCUGGACGGUCCGCCCUUCGGGUGAGUACUGUCUGUGGUCGGGUCCUACCUUCUGGCGAAGCGUCAUGGCCUUAACCGGCCGUGGCGGGGAACCAGGACUUUUACUGUGAAAAAAUUAGAGUGUUCAAAGCAGGCAAUCGCUUGGAUACAUUAGCAUGGAAUAAUGGAAUAGGACAAUGGUUCUAUUUGUUGGUUUCUAGGACCGUUGUAAUGAUUAAUAGGGAUAGUUGGGGGCAUUAGUAUUCAAUUGUCAGAGGUGAAAUUCUUGGAUUUAUUGAAGACUAACUACUGCGAAAGCAUUUGCCAAGGAUGUUUUCAUUAAUCAAGAACGAAAGUUAGGGGAUCGAAGACGAUCAGAUACCGUCGUAGUCUUAACCAUAAACUAUGCCGACUAGGAAUCGGGCGAUGUUGAAAAAAUGACGCGCUCGGCACCUCAUG